UACGUAGGGGGCAAGCGUUGUCCGGAAUUAUUGGGCGUAAAGCGCGUGUAGGCAGUUCAAUAAGUCUGCUGUAAAAGUCGGGGGCUCAACCCUUGAAUGGCCGGUGGAUACUGCAGGACUAGAGUCCGGAAGAGGCGGAGUGGAAUUCCUGGUGUAGCGGUGGAAAUGCGCAGAUAUCAGGAGGAACGACCGAUGGCGAAG
rnacentral:rRNA from 1 species